AACGUAUUUUUGGGUGCAGAUUUGUUCCAAAUUUUAAGCGAAACUUUUACUAUAAAUAUAGAACUUGUAUCAGAGCAAACUUUGAGAUAGAGGGGGCUGAAACAAGGGUUUAGAAAGGCAACAACAAAACUAGGGUUUGUAUAGAGUUUGUCUCUUCGGAACAAACACUAGGGUUUGUGGGUUGAUUCACCUUGGAAAACACUAUUAGGAUUGAGUCUCUUGGUUAUGGGAAGAGG
rnacentral:lncRNA from 1 species